CCAAAGGGAUGCCUCAGUAACGGCGAGUGAAGCGGCAAAAGCUCAAAUUUGAAACCCUCGGGAUUGUAAUUUGAAGAUUUGGCAUUGGAGAAAGCUAACCCAAGUUGCUUGGAAUAGUACGUCAUAGAGGGUGACAACCCCGUCUGGCUAACCGUUCUCCAUGUAUUGCCUUAUCAAAGAGUCGAGUUGUUUGGGAAUGCAGCUCAAAGUGGGUGGUAAACUCCAUCUAAAGCUAAAUACUGGUGAGAGACCGAUAGCGAACAAGUACUGUGAAGGAAAGGUGAAAAGAACUUUGAAAAGAGAGUGAAAUAGUAUGUGAAAUUGUUGAUAGGGAAGGAAAUGAGUGGAGAGUGGCCGAGGUUUCAGCCGCCCCUCGUGGGCGGUGUACUGCCGACGCCGAGUCAUCGAUAGCGAGACGAGGGUUACAAAUGGGAGCGCCUUUCGGGCGUUCUCCCCUAACCCUCCACACUGCCACCGACGACAUAAUCCACCCAUUUCACCCGUCUUGAACACCCCGGGAACAAAGA
rnacentral:rRNA from 1 species